rnacentral:rRNA from 1 species
GAUUGAACGCUGGCGGUAUGCUUAACACAUGCAAGUCGAACGGAAACGAUACUAGCUUGCUAGUAGGCGUCGAGUGGCGGACGGGUGAGUAACGCGUAGGAAUCUGCCUGAUAGUGGGGGAUAGCCCGAAGAAAUUCGGAUUAAUACCGCAUAAUCUAUUCGUAGUAAAGUGGGGGACUUUCGAGCCUCACGCUAUCAGAUGAGCCUGCGUAAGAUUAGCUAGUUGGUAGGGUAAAAGCCUACCAAGGCGACGAUCUUUAGCUGGUCUGAGAGGAUGAUCAGCCACAUCGGGACUGAGACACGGCCCGAACUCCUACGGGAGGCAGCAGUGGGGAAUAUUGGACAAUGGGGGCAACCCUGAUCCAGCAAUACCGCGUGUGUGAAGAAGGCCUGAGGGUUGUAAAGCACUUUCAAUUGUGAAGAAAGGCUAGUGGUUAAUAGCCAUUAGCCUUGACGUUAACUUUAGAAGAAGCACCGGCUAACUCCGUGCCAGCAGCCGCGGUAAUACGGAGGGUGCAAGCGUUAAUCGGAAUUACUGGGCGUAAAGCGUGCGUAGGCGGUUUAUUAAGUCAGAUGUGAAAGCCCCGGGCUUAACCUGGGAACUGCAUUUGAAACUGGUCAAACUAGAGUAUGGUAGAGGAAAGUGGAAUUUCUGGUGUAGCGGUGAAAUGCGUAGAUAUCAGAAUGGAACAUCAAUGGCGAAGGCAACUUUCUGGACCAAUACUGACGCUGAGGUACGAAAGCGUGGGUUGCAAACAGGAUUAGAUACCCUGGUAGUCCACGCCGUAAACGAUGAUAACUAGCCGUUGGGGGGAUUUACCCCUUAGUGGCGAAGCUAACGCGUUAAGUUAUCCGCCUGGGGAGUACGGCCGCAAGGUUAAAACUCAAAGGAAUUGACGGGGACCCGCACAAGCGGUGGAGCAUGUGGUUUAAUUCGAUGCAACGCGAAGAACCUUACCUGGUCUUGACAUCCUGAGAACUUUCUAGAAAUAGAUUGGUGCCUUCGGGAACUCAGUGACAGGUGCUGCAUGGCUGUCGUCAGCUCGUGUCGUGAGAUGUUGGGUUAAGUCCCGUAACGAGCGCAACCCCUAUCCUUAUUUGCCAGCACAUCAUGGUGGGAACUAUAAGGAGACUGCCGGUGAUAAACCGGAGGAAGGCGGGGACGACGUCAAGUCAUCAUGGCCCUUACGACCAGGGCUACACACGUGCUACAAUGGGAAGGACAAAGAGCCGCGAAGCCGCGAGGUGUAGCUAAUCUCAGAAACCUUUUCGUAGUCCGGAUUGGAGUCUGCAACUCGACUCCAUGAAGUCGGAAUCGCUAGUAAUCGUAGAUCAGAAUGCUACGGUGAAUACGUUCCCGGGUCUUGUACACACCGCC